rnacentral:rRNA from 1 species
GAUGAACGCUGGCGGCGUGCCUAAUACAUGCAAGUCGAGCGAACAGACGAGGAGCUUGCUCCUCUGACGUUAGCGGCGGACGGGUGAGUAACACGUGGAUAACCUACCUAUAAGACUGGGAUAACUUCGGGAAACCGGAGCUAAUACCGGAUAAUAUAUUUAACCGCAUGGUUCAAUAGUGAAAGACUGUUUUGCUGUCACUUAUAGAUGGAUCCGCGCCGCAUUAGCUAGUUGGUAAGGUAACGGCUUACCAAGGCAACGAUGCGUAGCCGACCUGGGAGGGUGAUCGACAACACGGAACUGAGACACGGUCCAGACUCCUACGGGAGGCAGCAGUAGGGAAUCUUAAGCAAUGGGCGAAAGCCUGACGGAGCAACGCCGCGUGAGUGAUGAAGGUCUUCGGAUCGUAAAACUCUGUUAUUAGGGAAGAACAAAUGUGUAAGUAACUAUGCACGUCUUGACGGUACCUAAUCAGAAAGCCACGGCUAACUACGUG